UACGUAGGCAGCGAGCGUUGUUCGGAAUUACUGGGCGUAAAAGAGUGUGUAGGCGGUGCUCUAAGUUCGGUGUGAAAUCUCCUGGCUCAACUGGGAGGGUGCGCCGGAAACUGAGUGCUUGAGUGUGGGAGAGGAAAGCGGAAUUCCUGGUGUAGCGGUGAAAUGCGUAGAUAUCAGGAGGAACACCUGUGGUGUAGACGCUUUCUGGACCAUAGCUGACGCUGAGACACGAAAGCGUGGGUAGCAAAGCAG
rnacentral:rRNA from 1 species